GUUCUCCAUGUCGUCAGUUCAUGGCCAACCGAGUCCUCCCAACUUGAUGUGUCCUUUGCUUAAGAACCAGCAAAAACUGACCGAUGGCUUUGAAUUCCAGUUCCAAAGUCCCAGGGAAAGGAUUUCAUUCAGGCUGAGAAGUCAGGGAUCCCUGGCCCCUGGGGACUACCGGCUACAGUCACGGAGGAAACACAAGGUCACAGAUGCUAUAAACAGAGAGAGAGGCAGAGACACAGGCCGAGGGAGAAGCAGGCUCCUUGCAAGGAGCCCGAUGUGGGACUCAAUCCUGAAUCCUGGGAUCAAGCCCUGGGCCGAAGGCAGAUGCUCAACCUCUGAGCCACCCAGGCGUCCCUAUAAACAUCUUUAUAACAAGGAAAGAGAGAACUGUGUCACAGGGGGUAUUUCCAUACCAGCAAAGCCCUGGCAACGUCCAGUUGUACUAUCAGCCACGACAAAAGACAGGAGGGGAUCUGAGCGCCCUCUACCCACAAGACACACGACUGGAGAAAAGAGUGCCCGACUGACAAGUCAACGCCCGUCUGUGACUGACAAAGCUCGGCAGGGAUGUGAGUGACUACAGGUAAGUCCCCUCUCAUUUGCAGCGGGGAGGAAGGGAGGACUCCCUUAUCAUGAAGCUCAUCAC
rnacentral:lncRNA from 12 species